rnacentral:lncRNA from 1 species
GUGGGAAGGGAGGGGUGAAAGGUCGCCGGUCCCCGGCAACACGGCUCAGGCAAACGAGCAUCGAGGAGGCAUUGGGAUGAAAGGCAGAUGACAGUCUGCUGAAUGAAGAAGAGAAUGACGUUUAGUUUGGGAAUAAAAGUUCAUCCGGAGUAUGAAAAACACGUUUGCCUCAAGUCAGGGAGGAAGAUUCACUGAGAGCUGAAAGAAAGGGAAAGCAGGUCCUUAAAGUGGAAACUUAACUAACCAUUGAUUUUAGCCAAAACAAAAUGUGAGAGGAAGACAUGUGUAACACCUCAGUGACUGAUAACAUCUCCUGAAGGAGGAUGACCUGAGAGACUCCCCUUACCCAGCCCUCUAGCUAAGAUGAAAACAGAACA